UACGUAGGUGACCAGCGUUGUCCGGAUUUACUGGGCGUAAAGAGCGCGCAGGCGGUCGUUCAAGUCGAGUGUGAAAGCCCCCGGCUCAACUGGGGAGGGUCACUCGAUACUGAUCGACUUGAAGGCAGGAGAGGGAAGCGGAAUUCCCGGUGUAGUGGUGAAAUGCGUAGAUAUCGGGAGGAACACCAGUGGCGAAGGCGGCUUCCUGGCCUGUUCUUGACGCUGAGGCACGAAGCCAGGGGAGACAAACGGG
rnacentral:rRNA from 1 species